rfam:Myotis lucifugus cont2.45156, whole genome shotgun sequence.
GGUGGUUCUUGCGUGACACCCUGGAAUCGGGCUCCCUCUUCUCUGGUUCCGGGUGUGUCACCCAAGAACCGCA